rnacentral:rRNA from 1 species
GCUUACGGUCAUACCAACCUGGCUAUGCCCCAUCUCGUCUGAUCUCGGAAGCUAAGCAGGUUUGGCCUGGUUAGUACUUGGAUGGGAGACCGCCUCGGAAUAACAGGUGCUGUAAGCU